rnacentral:rRNA from 1 species
AACGAACGCUGGCGGCGUGCCUAACACAUGCAAGUCGAACGUGAUUAGAGAGCUUGCUCUCUAUGAAAGUGGCGCACGGGUGAGUAACGCGUAGAUAAUCUACCUGAUGAUCCGGGAUAACACUUCGAAAGGGGUGCUAAUACCAGAUAAGCCCACGGGGUCCUUGGACUCUGCGGGAAAAGGAGGGGACUUUCGGGCCUUCCGUCAUCAGAUGAGUCUGCGUACCAUUAGCUAGUUGGUAGGGUAAAGGCCUACCAAGGCGACGAUGGUUAGCUGGUCUGAGAGGAUGAUCAGCCACACUGGAACUGAGACACGGUCCAGACUCCUACGGGAGGCAGCAGUGGGGAAUUUUGCGCAAUGGGGGAAACCCUGACGCAGCGACGCCGCGUGAGUGAGGAAGGCCUUCGGGUCGUAAAGCUCUGUCAAAGGGAAAGAAGUGCAUGAUGGCUAAUACCUGUCAUGUUUGACGGUACCCUUAAAGGAAGCACCGGCUAACUCCGUGCCAGCCGCCGCAGUAACAC